rnacentral:rRNA from 1 species
UACGUAGGGGGGCGAGCGUUACCCGGAUUUACUGGGCGUAAAGCGCGUGUAGGCGGCUGGUCAAGCGUGGUGUGAAAUCUCCGGGCUCAACCCCGGAAACUGCAUUGCGAACUGACCUAGCUGGAGUGCAGGAGAGGGCAGCGGAAUUCCCGGUGUAGUGGUGAAAUGCGUAGAUAUCGGGAGGAACACCAGUGGGCGAAGGCGACUUCCUGGCCUGUUCUUGACGCUGAGGCGCGAAAGCUAGGGGAGCAAACGGG